ensembl:lncRNA
UACAAGGCCGUGGUGGGAGCGGAACUGCUUCUUUCCACCCCCACCUGCGGCUGGGAUGCGAGGCAGGGGGGGCACCGUGGGAUGGGGCGGGCGGCGUGUUACAUUCCACAGGAUUUGGUUAUGAGGACAAAGCCAGGACCCCUCGGGCAGAGGGAUGCUCUCCCAGGGCCAUCCCCGGACAUGCCUCUGCCUGGGGUUUGCCACAAAAGGCAUUCGCAUUUGGUCCCUAUGCUCAGAAUGAAAGAAAAGCCAUCUAAUUGCUGCCGGCUGAGCUGGAGGACUGCAAACAGAAACUCGAAGGAGGCCGUGUGGUGUGGAGCCCUUGGAUCCUCAGCAAAUCCAUGGGUCACACCAGGGGGAGCCCGGAUCUGUCCUCUGGCCUGCCGGGCGCUGAGCUCGGGGGAAAGGAGGGGCCCAGCAAAAUAUUCUGCGAUGAAGCAAGGCAGCAGCGCGUACCCAGCCCUCCCUCUGUGCAGAGACCUCUCGCCGAGGGCCCUUACAGAGCCCCCGAGGUCCCUGCCCUUCUGCCAGAGCCCCUGCCUCCACUGCCAAGUAUUUCCCACUGGGAUCAUUUUUAAUAAGAAAAAAAUGACUUUUGGUCAAACGCUGCUUUG